GAUGAACGCUGGCGGCGUGCCUAAUACAUGCAAGUCGAGCGAACAGACGAGGAGCUUGCUCCUCUGACGUUAGCGGCGGACGGGUGAGUAACACGUGGAUAACCUACCUAUAAGACUGGGAUAACUUCGGGAAACCGGAGCUAAUACCGGAUAAUAUAUUGAACCGCAUGGUUCAAUAGUGAAAGACGGUUUUGCUGUCACUUAUAGAUGGAUCCGCGCCGCAUUAGCUAGUUGGUAAGGUAACGGCUUACCAAGGCAACGAUGCGUAGCCGACCGGAGAGGGUGAUAGGCCACACUGGAAGGGAGACACGGACCAGACUCCUACGGGAGGCAGCAGUAGGGAAUCUUCCGCAAUGGGCGAAAGCCUGACGGAGCAACGCCGCGUGAGUGAUGAAGGUCUUCGGAUCGUAAAACUCUGUUAUUAGGGAAGAACAAAUGUGUAAGUAACUAUGCACGUCUUGACGGUACCUAAUCAGAAAGCCACGGCUAACUACGUG
rnacentral:rRNA from 1 species